rnacentral:rRNA from 1 species
AACGAACGCUGGCGGCAUGCCUAACACAUGCAAGUCGAACGAUCCCUUCGGGGAUAGUGGCGCACGGGUGCGUAACGCGUGGGAACCUGCCCUUAGGUUCGGAAUAACUCAGAGAAAUUUGAGCUAAUACCGGAUAAUGUCUUCGGACCAAAGAUUUAUCGCCUUUGGAUGUGCCGGCGUUGGAUUAGCUAGUUGGUGGGGUAAAGGCCUACCAAGGCGACGAUCCAUAGCUGGUCUGAGAGGAUGGUCAGCCACACUGGGACUGAGACACGGCCCAGACUCCUACGGGAGGCAGCAGUGGGGAAUAUUGGACAAUGGGCGAAAGCCUGAUCCAGCAAUGCCGCGUGAGUGAUGAAGGCCUUAGGGUUGUAAAGCGCUUUUACCCGGGAUGAUAAUGACAGUACCGAGAGAAUAAGCCCCGGCUAACUCCGUG